UACGGAGGGAGCUAGCGUUGUUCGGAAUUACUGGGCGUAAAGCGCACGUAGGCGGCUUUGUAAGUUAGAGGUGAAAGCCCGGGGCUCAACCCCGGAAUUGCCUUUAAGACUGCAUCGCUUGAAUCCGGGAGAGGUGAGUGGAAUUCCGAGUGUAGAGGUGAAAAUUCGUAGAUAUUCGGAAGAACACCAGUGGCGAAGGCGGCUCACUGGACCGGUAUUGACGCUGAGGUGCGAAAGCGUGGGGAGCAAACAGG
rnacentral:rRNA from 1 species